rnacentral:rRNA from 1 species
GACAGAGGUGCCAAGCGUUAGGCGGAAUCACUGGGCUUAAAGCGUGUGUAGGCGGAUCGUUAAGUGCCUUGUGAAAUCCCCAGGCUUAACUUGGGAACUGCGUCUGAUACUGGGAGGCUUGAGUGCGGGAGAGGGAUGUGGAAUUCCAGGUGUAGCGGUGAAAUGCGUAGAUAUCUGGAGGAACACCGGUGGCGAAGGCGGCAUCCUGGACCGACACUGACGCUGAGGCGCGAAAGCUAGGGGAGCAAACGGG